rnacentral:tRNA from 2 species
GCGGAUAUGGCGUAAUUGGUAGCCGCGCUAGACUUAGGAUCUAGUGCCGAAAGGCGUGGGGGUUCGAGUCCCUCUAUCCGCACAA